rnacentral:rRNA from 1 species
UACGGAGGUGGCAAGCGUUGCUCGGAAUCACUGGGCGUAAAGCGCACGUAGGCGGAUUGUUAAGUCAGGGGUGAAAUCCUGGAGCUCAACUCCAGAACUGCCUUUGAUACUGGCGAUCUCGAGUCCGGGAGAGGUGAGUGGAACUGCGAGUGUAGAGGUGAAAUUCGUAGAUAUUCGCAAGAACACCAGUGGCGAAGGCGGCUCACUGGCCCGGUACUGACGCUGAGGCACGAAAGCGUGGGGAGCAAACAGG